rnacentral:lncRNA from 1 species
UGCAGCACUUUAUAAUAUCAAACUUUAUUGCUCAAAACUAAUUGUCUGAAAAAUACACAUGUAGUACUCAAAGACCAAACACAGAGGCUUAUAUGAUUGUGCAGAAAAAAAGCAAGCAGAGGCUCAGUGAAAAUGAGGCUUUAUAGUUGUACCAAUUUAGCACUGGCAUCAAGCAACUGCACCCACUACAAUUCAUACAGCAACCUUUGUCAUCUACUUGGGCAUUAAAAACCAUUUCCUUUUUCCCCCCCACUUUCCCUUCUCAGAUACACAUCAGAAUACUGUAACUGAACGUUUUAUUUGGUUAAGAACAGCAUGGCUUCUUGCACUUCACCUUUCUUCCUAUGGAAAGUUAGGCAGCUACCACUUCCUGAAUUUUACUCCAGAACCAAAGUACAGUCUAGAGAAAUUAUUAAGAUAAAUCAUGCUUUUAAAUACUUGGAUGUUAAAAAUAUAUUUGUAUAAAGCCUAACAGCAGCGCAGGAAAGUGGAAGUUCACAUACAAUAGUUAAGUUUAUGCAUAAUAGUCUUUCCAAACAUCUGAGUACCCAACUACUGGGUCAGUUGUGUUUCUAAUAAAUACUUAAGAAAAAGCUGAACGACUGGUGUUCAAAUAGGUAGCAUCUGUCUGGUCACUGCAAGUCACAGUCAGUUCUCCAUCAGUACCGUAAUGAGCGGAAUGCACACUAACCCUUACAGUCCAUAAACCACACGCUUGUUGAGAAGCACAUAAUAUGCAGAGCAAAAACUGUAACUCCCAGAGGGAACAGUUCUUAAAAAUACACUCCAUUCCUAUAAAAAUAUCCAUCCUCCUUUGUGUAUAGAAGGGAUGAAGAACAAACAUCAGUGACAAAAGCAGCAGUUGAUUUUACGCAUUCGUACAAUCAAGAUCUAAACCUUUACAGCCAAUUAUCUAGGAAACACACAAGUUACAAUACAGAUUUAGGAUACAUCUUGGAUCACACUGUAAGUGUUCAUGCAGAAGCUGAAGUUAAUGCAACGAUCUAUCCUCUAUCAAAGCAGCUCGUGCUUAUGUGCAAAUGCAAGACUGUUACACUCCAAACAAUAGUAAACAUUAAAACACAAGAAUACUUCACAAUGACGAUUAACAGCAGUUAAGUUGUUUGUUCCAGCAGUUAUUGCGCUAUUUUCUGGACAUCUCUCCAGUUAGAGGCUGCAGCAAGGUCUAAUACCAUCUUUUUUGUUUUUGUUUAGAAUGCAUAAUAUAUGUUCUAGGCUUUGGUUCACAAUGAAAUCUGUGGAUGUUUUAAUUAAGGGCAGCGGUCACCUUGUGAUCUGAUAGUGGCAGACUGAGGUAAUACAGCAAUCCUCUUAAAAGUAACAAAAUCAAAUUUGUAAGUGAGGCAUCUACGGAUAUUCUGCAGGUGACCUGCAAAGACACUGACAUUCUCAUUUCAGAACAACAAAGGAGCUGCGAGGGUGAUUUGUCUGUUACAGUGCUGGCCACAUACAGGUAUUCUGCUGCAAACAUACAAGCUGAAGUGAAACCUACCUACCGCAGUAACACACUGAGGCAUAGAAGAGAUAAGCCCUGUCUUUAUGAAAAAAUACAUCAAGAGACAAACAGUAAUCCCUGCUUGUCAGCACUGCACCAAUAUUACAUACCUUCCAAAGAAAGAUGGAGAUUGGUUAAAGCUAUGCUGCUAAAAAAAAAAAAAGCAGCAGAGGCAGUAUUUUGUUUUUGUUUUUUAAGAUAGGCCACUUCUUUAAAUCAUAGUUUCUGUAUAGUCUUCCAACUACCCGUAUCCUGUUAGCACAGGUUUACAGCUUGCAGAACAGAAGCUAAAUAGAAUCAUGAACAGUGAGCAAAUUCAUUUUUGCAGAGCUCUGAGCGUGCCAUUGGAACAGAGACAGGCGAGGCUGUAAGGCUCCUGUUUGACCUCAGACAUCAUAAGCCACAUAAUAGAGAACAAUAGCUUCAGAUAAGAACUAAAAUCCUUGCAAUUCCAAAAUAGCAGGUGUGAUAUUAAAAGCAGGUCUGACAAUACUGAUGCCAAUAUUGUUAAAAUCCAGUAGGCACAAUGUUCAUUGUACUGCAGCAUUCUACACGUAACAUGUUAUUAAACAAUAAAAUAAAGGAAAAAAAACCCCAAACAACCCAAGAACAUUCAUUCCUCUUUACCCC